rnacentral:rRNA from 1 species
UACGUAGGGGGCAAGCGUUGUCCGGAAUCAUUGGGCGUAAGGAGCGUGUAGGCGGUCCGGUAAGUCGGCUGUGAAAGUCCAGGGCUCAACCCUGGGAUGCCGGUCGAUACUGCCGGACUAGAGUUCGGAAGAGGCGAGUGGAAUUCCCGGUGUAGCGGUGAAAUGCGCAGAUAUCGGGAGGAGCACCUAUGGCGAAGGCAGCUCGCUGGGACGUUACUGACGCUGAGACGCGAAAGCGUGGGGAGCAAACAGG